AUAUAGCUUAGAGUGGUACAGUAUUCUAGUCAGCACAACUAUUCUUGAAGGCGGGGCUAAAAAUCCGUCGAAGGGCAUAUCGAUGAAGUUCCGUGUUUAGGCUUGUGACGCCCAGUCAUGGGUCUUCUCAGGGAGUAAGAAAGAUGGGGCGAUCUGCAAUGGCAUGCAGGCGUGGACCCUGCUUUCGUGGAGACACAAUAUAUUAUUACCCUAUAUUGUGAUAAACCUGCAUUAAGUAAGGGGCAGAGUAGCCUGCCUUGAGUGAAGUAUGGCGGAUGAUAAGUUCGAUUUAAGAGUGCAUAGGGCCCAGUUGUUCUUAAAUUUUGUUAUCGAAACCUAUUUUGCAAAAGAGGCUAAGGGAUAGAAUGGCUGUUGAGGAAAACUCCUAGACUGUUCAUAUGAGGUGAAUUUUGGAUUAAAGUGCGGACUAAGUGGCAAUCCAGUUCUAUCUAUGGUGACAGGAUAGUAUUAAAAUUAAAGGGAAACCACUGUUAUGGUGACAUACAGCUUUUAAUAGGGAAAUCCUGCUGGACCUGAAGCCGUAAAAUUUACUUAAUUCAUCACCACUUUG
rnacentral:sRNA from 1 species